UACGGAGGGUGCGAGCGUUGUCCGGAAUCAUUGGGCGUAAAGGGCGCGUAGGUGGCCCGGUCAGUCUUUGGUGAAAGCGCGGGGCUCAACCCUGCGUCGGCCAGGGAUACUGCCGCGGCUCGAGCACUGUAGAGGCAGGCGGAAUCCGGGUGUAGCGGUGGAAUGCGUAGAGAUCCGGAAGAACACCGGUGGCGAAGGCGGCCUGCUGGGCAGUGGGGGCAACCCCGUGGAAGCUGGACACUGAGGCGCGACAGCGUGGGAGCAAC
rnacentral:rRNA from 1 species